ensembl:lncRNA
UUAAACUAAUAGGGAGGGGCAUAAAACCAGGCUCACUGGAGUCAAACCUGGGGGAACAGUUCUGGGUUUUGGGGGUGAGGCAAAUGGCUCAGUUGGAGUCUAUCUGCUCCAAUGUAUGCAGUACGGGCAACAAACAGGAGAAGCUGUAAGCCACUGUGGGGCAGGCAAACUAUGACUUAGUUGCCAUUAUUGAAACACAGAGGGAUUUGCACAACUGGAGUGCUGCAAUGGAUGACUAUGAAUGCUUUAAAAGGGAUAGGCAAGGAAGGAGGAGUGGUGCCAUGAGCCAGCAGUGUGUGCCCAGAUGGCCAAGAAGGCCAGGACAUCUGGAUUGUAUCAGAAAUAACGUUGCCAGCAGGAGCAGGGAAGUGAUUGUCUCUCUGUACUCAGCUCUGAUGAGGCUGUACUUCAAGUACUUCAGUGGCAAGAAUAACUACUGGAAUAAUAGUCAUAGCCAGUAUCUACUACCUACAGGAAAUACAUCAACGUUAUUGAAGAAGCUGAUAUAGCACCACAAAGAGGUUGGGACUCACACUGGGAAUUUUGGCUCUGUGAAGCAGUGUGCCAAAUCAUCUUUUCAGCAAUACUUACCAGCACCCCCAGCCAUGGGUAAAGUAAGUAUGUUUUCCACACAAUUAUCAAAGAAAUAGUUUAAUGACUAGGAGAGUGCCCCAGAACAGGAUUCAUAAACACAGGAUACAGAACUGCUAAAGAAAUUAGAAGAAGUUGUAGAAAGAAAGAAAUUGGCUUAAGGCCCUCUUCCUUGUGAGAUAUAGAUGCCUACAUCCAAGCUGGUUAUGCACACUUUUGUCCACUCAUAAAUUAUUUUCUGGGUCUAGGAAUUGAAGGCAUUGAAAUCAGGUCACUUCAGUCCUUUUUCUUUUUCUUUUUCUUUUUUCCUUUUUUAAAAUAUUUAUUUAUUUAUUUUUAGUUUUAAAGGAUUAAAGUACCCAUAGGGCACAUCGAAUUUUGGUAUUUCUUUCUCCAUUUGCUCUCCCAACUUUGCUAUCAAACUAUAGAAUAUGAUAUGAUGUACUAUUAUUAGUCUUUGGUGAGUAUGUCACUCUUACUCACAUAAAUCCUUUAAAUAUUUAUUCCAGGCCAGUGCUCAAAUUUACUCUGUACUAAUUCGUGCGUACGGUCUCUAGCCCAAGGUCAGUGCAAAGUGAAUGUGUUGAUUCUCAGGUGGUCAAGGAUAUCUUCUCCUGUGAGUUUGUAUCAUGUGAUUAGAGCAUAUGCCCUAGAUCAUAACCCCACCGCGAAGGAAGAAUAAAGGUGUUUGUGUGUUCCACUGCAUUUUAAAAAGUAAACAGACAGAGAACUGAACUGUUUGUUGCUAUCAAGAAUUAAGUAACAGACUGCCAUAGGGAUUUUGCUGACAGAAAAGAGGGUCUUUAAGUGACUCCCGUGAGGCAAUUUUGCAAUUAAGUGCCUGAAGAGGCAGCUGUUGACCGAAAAGCGUGCUCCUGAUUCUUGAUUUUUAAUUUUUUUUUCUUUUGGUCGAAAAUCCUCUUCUAAAUUCAGUAUUUAAAACAUGAGAUAAAGGCUGCACCUCUCCUGCCUCUGUUCUGAUGAGGAGCCAGAUUGCUGCAGGUGCACACAGGCAUUACACCAGAAGCAAUCUCCAGAUUCCCUUCCAGAGGACAGACGCAAGAGAAAAGGGUCUGGAGAUGUGUGCAGAGAAGUGAUUCGUGGUCCUCAUUACUGGAGAUGUAGUGUGCUCUCUCUCCAGUGGCUAGUUUGAAGCACUGACUGGAAGAACAAAAGGUGUCCUGUUAUUAAUGAAACCAGCCAUGGCUUUUUGGAGUGUUUAGUGAUACUAGUAGUAGUGUGCCAAGCCCCUCUCACAUGAGAACAAACAUCGUUUUAACAGCUUGUGUAUACUUAUUUUCAAAAUGAGACAAUAUAUCUGUGAUCUCUGAUUCCUUGAGAGAACUCACUUGGGAAACUGAUCCAUAAGGUAGCAUUUAGUCGCUUAUUCCCAUGUCACAGGCUUAAGCCUAGGAAUUCAAAUGCAGAAUUUAGUAAAACCAAAUAAAUACAAGUGCUGACUUGAAAACUUUUUCUCUUCCCUAGCAGAAAAUGGAAACCUAAAUCCUAGACUGGCAUAGAAAAAAAUGAAAGGAAAGUCUCUGUGAUAUGGAACAAGAAUCUAAUGUUUGGCAGCGCAAUUCCUGAGGUAGUAAGAUUAUUUUUUUGCCAGUCUUAUGAAAAUUUCUCCUAAUUUGAACAAGAUGUAAGAUUUUUAAAUACUAUGAAUUUAAGUAUGCACAAAUUGUUUGAAUGCACCGUUUCUGUUCACUGAAGUUGCUCUGGAUUCAGCCUAUUCCUAGUUACCUUCUGAGUUAUGGCCCUGUCCUGAAUGUAUGGGCACAUUGCAACCUGUUUUGAAGCAUAUUCCUGUGUCCACCAUUGCUCUUGCCUUUUCGGAAGUGAUGUCGUUCUUGUUUCUGUAACUGACUUCAUGUAUAAGGUCUGGCUCUCAGGAAGAAAUGGAGAAAACAACUUUAACUGAAUGGAUGCAGAGAAGAUGGGAAGGGAUAGGUAAGAAAAUUAUAAGGGAAAGGAGAGGCAGCAGCAGAAUGGGAAAAAAAAAAAAAAAACAAAAAAAAAACAGAAGAGCCGAGGGAGAGGAAUAAGGAAAAUCUAAAAAACAAGAUGAGAAUACCUCAAAAGCACUCUCCUUUGGAGGCUGAGCAGCUCUUUGAUCACACGGCUGGAUAUUGCUGCCAUGCUACCAAAUGCAUUAUUCUAUCCCUCUCAGCAUGGUGACCCACACAGAAGAUAACAACCUUUUGCAGACACUUGCUAAUCUUUUCUUUUAAGUGUUUGAGUGCACUGUGUUGCCUAUCUGAAUCCCUGCUUGAUCCUGUGAAGAGAAGGUUCAUGAGACAUGGUCCUAAAGGAAAACCUUUUAAAUAAUAUAUACACAGCCUUCUACAAGAAACCUAAUUUAUGUCAUUGUUUAACUUUUGAGAUAAUCUGCUUUGCAAUUUUAAUGUUGUUACCAGAGGAUUUUGGUCAGAAUAUACAUGUAUCUAUGCAGCUAUCUGCAAUCUCUUUGAAGGUAGCCUUUGCUUUUUUUCCAAACAGCUGAAUUUUAGACCCAUCUGAAAGACAAGCUAACAGUGUCUUUUUUUUUGUUUUGUUUUGCUUUCUUUCCCCUUUUUUUUCCCCCCCAGCAAAGUACCUUGAAAAGAGAUGAUCUUUACUGGCUUAUUUUGUGAUUGAACUAUUAUUCUUUGCCUAUAUGCCUGGUUACUUUCUGAAGCAUAUAGUUCUAAUAAACAUAGCCUUCCAAAAUCAUAAUUUUUCUACUGUGCUGCUUUCAGCUUCUUGAGUGAAUGCACAAGCAGCAGGCUUGCUGAACCGGUUAGAUGCAUGUUUUCAGGGCAUGUGACACUGAAGAGAGAAAAUUGUGUUUAAUUUCACCUUAUGAAAGUCUAUUGUAAAAACUGGAAUACAAUCAAGUGACAAUUAGAAAAGCAACUGGCUAAAUUUCUUUCAUUAAAAACGCAAUAAAGAAGUAUCACA